rnacentral:rRNA from 1 species
UACAGAGGGGGCCAGCGUUAUUCGGAAUUAUUGGGCGUAAAGGGCGCGUAGGCGGCCUUCUAAGUCGGACGUGAAAUCCCUCGGCUUAACCGAGGAACUGCGUCCGAUACUGAAAGGCUUGAAUCCGGGAGAGGGAUGUGGAAUUCCAGGUGUAGCGGUGAAAUGCGUAGAUAUCUGGAGGAACACCGGUGGCGAAGGCGGCAUCCUGGACCGGCAUUGACUCUGAGGCGCGAAAGCUAGGGGAGCAAACGGG